GAGGGACGAAAGAUACCAGAGGGACAGUCAAACUCAUAGAUCGAAAACAAACUGACAACGCCAUGGCCAAAAAUAAAAAAAACCAAACAGACAAAUAAUAGUACAGAUGACACAACAUAGAAAACUAAAGACUAAGCAACACGAACCCCACCAAAAACUGGGGGUGAUCUCAGGUGCUCCGGAAGGGUAAGCAGAUCCUGCUCCACAUGUGGCACCCGUCGUGU